CAUCUCUAUAAACCAGAAAUCCCCAAUAAAUUUUUAUAUUUGAAAAAGAAGAACCGAAAUCAGAGCCGCCCUCUUGCCUUCUCUGACUCUUACUCUCCCCUUCCAUGAAGACCUAAAACCUCCAGAAUAUUCAUCUCAUCUCUACUUCAGUCUUUCUCUGAUGUGGCCAGAUUGGCUCAAAUCCUCCACUAGGGUUUCAUCGCCCUCUCCCUCUCGUUCCUCGGCUCUAAUUCCUUCCUCCGCGCACAGGAAGAAAUUCUCCUGCUCCUCCUUCAAAG
rnacentral:lncRNA from 1 species